GGGGCGCAGCUACCAUGCAGUCGAGCGGCAGCGCGGGGCCACCUGUGCGGCGAGCGUCGAACGGGUGAGUAAUGCGUCGGAACAUGUCCCUGUCGUGGGGGAAAGCCCGGCGAAAGCCGGAUUAAUACCGCAUAAGCCCGGGAGGGGAAAGCAGGGGAACGCAAGGGCUUGCGCGAUUGGGUUGGCCGAAGUCCGAUUAACUAGUUGGUGAGGUAAAGGCUUACCAAGGGGAUGAUUGGUAGCUGGGCUGAAAAGAUGAUCAACCCCCCUGGGACUGAAACACGGCCCAAAAUCCUACCGGAGGGAACCGUAGGGAAUUUUGGACAAUGGGGGCAACCCUGAUCCCGCCAUUCCCCGUGAGUGAAAAAAGGCUUCCGGUUGGAAAGCUCUUUUGUCCGGAACGAAACGGGUAACCCUAAUACGGCUGCCUACUGACGGUACCGGAAGAAUAAGCACCGGCUAACUACCUGCCCACAGCCGCGGUAAUACGUAGGGGUGCGAGCGUUAAUCGGAAUUACUGGGGCGUAAAGCGUGCGCAGGCGGUUUUUGUAAGCCAGAUGUGAAAUCCCCCGGGCUUAACCUGGGAAUGGCAUUUUGGGACUGCAUGGCUGGAGUAUGGCAGAGGGGACUAGAAUUCCUGGUGUAGCAGUGAAAUGCGUAGAUAUCAGGAAGAAUACCGAUGGCGAAAGCAGGUCCCUGGGCUAAUACUGACGCUCAUGCACGAAAGCGUGGGGAGCAAACAGGAUUAGAUACCCUGGUAGUCCACGCCCUAAACGAUGUCUACUGGUUGUUGGAGGUUAGACACUCUCAGUAACGAAGCUAACGCGUGAAGUCGACCGCCUGGGGAGUACGGCCGCAGAGUUAAAACUCAAAGGAAUUGACGG
rnacentral:rRNA from 1 species